AUGGCUCAGGAUGAACGCUAGCUACAGGCUUAACACAUGCAAGUCGAGGGGAAACGAUAUUGGAAGCUUGCUUCCGAUAGGCGUCGACCGGCGCACGGGUNAGUAACGCGUAUCCAACCUGCCCACACUUGGGGAUAACCUUGCGAAAGUAAGACUAAUACCCAAUGACGUCUCUAGAAGACAUCUGAAAGGGAUUUAAAGAUUUAUCGGUGAUGGAUGGGGAUGCGUCUGAUUAGCUUGUUGACGGGGUAACGGCCCACCAAGGCUACGAUCAGUAGGGGUUCUGAGAGGAAGGUCCCCCACAUUGGAACUGAGACACGGUCCAAACUCCUACGGGAGGCAGCAGUGAGGAAUAUUGGUCAAUGGGCGAGAGCCUGAACCAGCCAAGUAGCGUGCAGGACGACGGCCCUAUGGGUUGUAAACUGCUUUUAUAUGGGGAUAAAGUGAGUUACGUGUAGCUUAUUGCAGGUACCAUAUGAAUAAGGACCGGCUAAUUCCGUG
rnacentral:rRNA from 1 species